rnacentral:sRNA from 1 species
GACUCGAUCCGGCUCCCCUCGCCGUCCUGGACACGGCGGAGUGCAGAGCCGCCCGUAAGAUGCUCUGAUCUUUGACCCCUGCCGUUCAGCUCUAGGGCCCGUGCAGGCCACACCAUGAACACCUCCCCAGGCACGGUGGGCAGUGACCCGGUCAUCCUGGCCACUGCAGGCUACGACCACACCGUGCGCUUCUGGCAGGCCCACAGCGGCAUCUGCACCCGGACUGUGCAGCACCAGGACUCCCAAGUGAAUGCCUUGGAGAUCACACCAGACCGCAGCAUGAUUGCUGCUGCAGGUAUCUGUGACCCUUGCCCUCUAACCCCUGACCUCUGGUGGGUCGACCUCAGCACAGCCAAGCUUCAGUUCAGCCUGUAUCCCUAGGUUACCAGCAUAUCCGCAUGUAUGAUCUCAACUCCAAUAACCCUAACCCCAUCAUCAGUUACGACGGCGUCAACAAGAACAUCGCGUCUGUGGGCUUCCACGAAGACGGCCGCUGGAUGUACACGGGCGGCGAGGACUGCACAGCCAGGAUCUGGGACCUCAGGUCCCGGAACCUGCAGUGCCAGCGGAUCUUCCAGGUGAACGCACCCAUUAACUGCGUGUGCCUGCACCCCAACCAGGCAGAGCUCAUCGUGGGUGACCAGAGCGGGGCUAUCCACAUCUGGGACUUGAAAACAGACCACAACGAGCAGCUGAUCCCUGAGCCUGAGGUCUCCAUCACGUCUGCCCACAUCGACCCCGACGCCAGCUACAUGGCAGCUGUCAAUAGCACUGGAAACUGCUAUGUCUGGAAUCUGACGGGGGGCAUUGGUGACGAGGUGACCCAGCUCAUCCCCAAGACCAAGAUCCCUGCCCACACGCGCUACGCCCUGCAGUGUCGCUUCAGCCCCGACUCCACGCUCCUCGCCACCUGCUCGGCUGAUCAGACCUGCAAGAUCUGGAGGACGUCCAACUUCUCCUUGAUGACGGAGCUGAGCAUCAAGAGCGGCAACCCCGGGGAGUCCUCUCGCGGCUGGAUGUGGGGCUGCGCCUUCUCGGGGGACUCCCAGUACAUCGUCACCGCUUCCUCGGACAACCUGGCCCGGCUCUGGUGUGUAGAGACUGGAGAAAUCAAGAGAGAGUAUGGCGGCCACCAGAAGGCUGUUGUCUGCCUGGCCUUCAACGACAGUGUGCUGGGCUAGCCUGUGACCCCUCGGGACUGCCUGGUGUAGGUGGUGGCAGCUGGAGGGACCCAUGCAGCACCCAGGUCAGAGCAGGCCCCCCUGCCGGCCUGCGCCAGCUGGACCUGAUGGCCCCCUGUGGCGCCUUGACCUGCUGGGCCAGGCCGCCCUGGGACUUUCAGCCCCCAGUUGCUUAUCUAGAUGUGACAGAGCUUGACCCAAGCCAGGCUGUACACUCCU